UGGGGAAUCUUGGACAAUGGGCGCAAGCCUGAUGACGCAACGCCGCGUGGGGGAUGAAGGUCUUCGGAUCGUAAACCCCUGUCGAAUGGGACGAAAGACUCGCGAGUGAAUACUUCGCGAGAGUGACGGUACCGUUAAAGGAAGCCACGGCUAACUCUGUGCCAGCAGCCGCGGUAAUACAGAGGUGGCAAGCGUUGUUCGGAAUUACUGGGCGUAAAGGGCGCGUAGGCGGCCCUCUAAGUCAGACGUGAAAUCCCCCGGCUUAACCUGGGAACUGCGUCUGAUACUGGAGGGCUUGAGUAUGGGAGAGGGAUGUAGAAUUCCAGGUGUAGCGGUGAAAUGCGUAGAUAUCUGGAGGAAUACCGGUGGCGAAGGCGGCAUCCUGGACCAUUACUGACGCUGAGGCGCGAAAGCUAGGGGAGCAAACGGGAUUAGAUACCCAAGUAGUCCCUGAGCGGGCUGGCAAGGCGCAU
rnacentral:rRNA from 1 species